AGAGGUGAAAGGUUGCAGCUCAACUGUAGAAUUGCCUUUGAUACUGAUGUUCUUGAGUUAUGUUGCUGUGGCCGGAACAUGUGGUGUAGCGGUGAAAUGCAUAGAUAUCACAUAGAACACCGAUUGCGAAGGCAGGUCACAAAGCAUACACUGACACUGAUGGACGAAAGCGUGGGGAGCGAACGGGAUUAGAUACCCCGGUAGUCCACGCCGUAAACGAUGGAUACUAGCUGUUGGGUUUUCGGACUCGGCGGCCAAGCGAAAGUGAUAAGUAUCCCACCUGGGGAGUACGUUCGCAAGAAUGAAACUCAAAGGAAUUGACGGGGGCCCGCACAAGCGGUGGAGCAUGUGGUUUAAUUCGAUGAUACGCGAGGAACCUUACCAGGGCUUAAAUGGGGGAUGACAGAGGCAGAGACGCCUUUUUCUUCGGACAUCCUUCAAGGUGCUGCAUGGUUGUCGUCAGCUCGUGCCGUGAGGUGUCAGGUUAAGUCCUAUAACGAGCGCAACCCCUGCCGUUAGUUGCCAGCGAGUCAAGUCGGGGACUCUAACGGGACUGCCGGUGCAAACCGUGAGGAAGGUGGGGACGACGUCAAAUCAUCACGGCCCUUACGUCCUGGGCUACACACGUGCUACAAUGGUCGGUACAAUGGGAAGCUACCCUGUAAGGGGAUGCGGAUCUUCAAAGCCGAUCACAGUUCGGAUCGGGGUCUGCAACUCGAC
rnacentral:rRNA from 1 species